UCGGGAGUGGUGUAAUCGGCAACACGACAGUUUCUGGUGCUGUAAUUGAGGGUUCGAUUCCUUCCUCCCGAGCCA
rnacentral:tRNA from 1 species